GGUUGUGGCUCAGUGGUACAACACUUGCCUAGCACACAAGAGGCCCUGGGUUCAAUACUCAGCACCA
rnacentral:tRNA from 1 species